rnacentral:rRNA from 1 species
CAGCAGCCGCGGGAAUACGAAGGGUGCAAGCGUUAAUCGGAAUUACUGGUCGUAAAGCGUGCGUAGGCGGUUUGUUAAGUCUGUUGUGAAAUCCCCGGGCUCAACCUGGGAAUGGCAAUGGAUACUGGCAAGCUAGAGUGUGUCAGAGGAUGGUGGAAUUCCCGGUGUAGCGGUGAAAUGCGUAGAGAUCGGGAGGAACAUCAGUGGCGAAGGCGGCCAUCUGGGACAACACUGACGCUGAGGCACGAAAGCGUGGGGAGCAAACAGGAUUAGAUACCCCCGUAGUCCCUGUCUCUUAUAC